GGAUAAGCGGAAGAAAUUCCGUCUAAUACCGCGUAACAACCCGAGGAGGCAUCUCCUCGGGUUUAAAGGAAGCGAUUCCGGCUACGGAUGGUCAUGCGUCGCAUUAGCUAGUUGGCGGGGUAACGGCCCACCAAGGCGACGAUGCGUAGGGGUUCUGAGAGGAAGGUCCCCCACACUGGUACUGAGACACGGACCAGACUCCUACGGGAGGCAGCAGUGAGGAAUAUUGGUCAAUGGCCGCAGGGCUGAACCAGCCAAGUCGCGUGAGGGAUGACGGUCCUAUGGAUUGUAAACCUCUUUUGUCAGGGAGCAAAGGGCGCCACGUGUGGUGUUUUGCGAGUACCUGAAGAAAAAGCAUCGGCUAACUCCGUGCCAGCAGCCGCGGUAAUACGAGGAUGCGAGCGUUAUCCGGAUUUAUUGGGUUUAAAGGGUGCGCAGGCGGAAUGUCAAGUCAGCGGUAAAAUUUCGGGGCUCAACCCCGUCGUGCCGUUGAAACUGGCGUUCUUGAGUGAGCGAGAAGUAUGCGGAAUGCGCGGUGUAGCGGUGAAAUGCAUAGAUAUCACGCAGAACUCCGAUUGCGAAGGCAGCAUACCGGCGCUCAACUGACGCUCAUGCACGAAAGCGUGGGUAUCGAACAGGAUUAGAUACCCUGGUAGUCCACGCAGUAAACGAUGAAUACUAGCUGUCCGGGCAGAAUGAUGCCUGGGU
rnacentral:rRNA from 1 species